GACAGAGGUCCCGAGCGUUAGGCGGAAUCACUGGGCUUAAAGCGUGUGUAGGCGGAUCGUUAAGUACCUUGUGAAAUCCCACGGCUUAACCGUGGAACUGCUUGGUAUACUGGCGAUCUUGAGCCACUUAGGGGCAACCGGAACAAACGGUGUAGCGGUGAAAUGCGUAGAUAUUGGGAAGAACACCGGUGGCGAAAGCGCGCGACUGGACCUGAACUGACACUGAGGGACGAAAGCUAGGGGAGCGAAAGGG
rnacentral:rRNA from 1 species